rnacentral:rRNA from 1 species
GACGAACGCUGGCGGCGUGCUUAACACAUGCAAGUCGAACGGAAAGGCCCUGCUUUUGUGGGGUGCUCGAGUGGCGAACGGUUGAGUAACACGUGAGUAACCUGCCCUUGACUUUGGGAUAACUUCAGGAAACUGGGGCUAAUACCGGAUAGGAGCUCCUGCUGCAUGGUGGGGGUUGGAAAGUUUCGGCGGUUGGGGAUGGACUCGCGGCUUAUCAGCUUGUUGGUGGGGUAGUGGCUUACCAAGGCUUUGACGGGUAGCCGGCCUGAGAGGGUGACCGGAAAAAUUGGGACUGAGAUACGGCCCAGACUCAUACGGGAGGCAGCAGUGGGGAAUAUUGCAAAAUGGGCGGAAGCCUGAUGCAGCAACGCCGCGUGCGGGAUGACGGCCUUCGGGUUGUAAACCGCUUUCGCCUGUGACGAAGCGUGAGUGACGGUAAUGGGUAAAGAAGCACCGGCUAACUACGUG